UGCUAGGGCAAGCAAGCUCCAUUAAUGCUGCCAGGGCCCUGCUAAUUGCUUGAUCCCACCUGCGGAGAAGUGGAGGUGUAACUCCCAAGUAUAACUAGACUUCCAAUCAAUAUGUAUUCUCCCAGAAAAUUGUCAGGAGGAAUGAAGGAUGGAGUCCCAUGAGUAAGAAGUAGGGUGUCUUCGUGCCUCGGAGCUGCCUUGCUGCUUCAAAGACUGCAUACCGUCUGCUGCCCUGAAGGUGACUGCAUGCAGCUUGGUCGGGCUGGCGUCUCAUUAUCCCUCUGCUGCAGGCUUCCAGCAGCUCCCCAAGCAGGGAGUUUUGAAGUACAGGUUGUAAGUGACGACACUAGGAACUGAGAGCUGGUUUUCAAAUCUUCUCAAAUGGAGCUUCCCAAACCAAGUAAGCAUGUCCAAUGGGAAGGCUGCGUGACUAUCUUUGAGUGUUGGCCAUGACAAGGGAUGUUUC
rnacentral:lncRNA from 1 species